rnacentral:rRNA from 1 species
GACGAAAGUCUGACCGAGCAACGCCGCGUGAGUGAAGAAGGUUUUCGGAUCGUAAAGCUCUGUUGUAAGUCAAGAACGUGUGUGAGAGUGGAAAGUUCACACAGUGACGGUAGCUUACCAGAAAGGGACGGCUAACUACGUGCCAGCAGCCGCGGUAAUACGUAGGUCCCGAGCGUUGUCCGGAUUUAUUGGGCGUAAAGGGAGCGCAGGCGGUCAGGAAAGUCUGGAGUAAAAGGCUAUGGCUCAACCAUAGUGUGCUCUGGAAACUGUCUGACUUGAGUGCAGAAGGGGAGAGUGGAAUUCCAUGUGUAGCGGUGAAAUGCGUAGAUAUAUGGAGGAACACCAGUGGCGAAAGCGGCUCUCUGGUCUGUCACUGACGCUGAGGCUCGAAAGCGUGGGUAGCGAACAGGAUUAGAUACCCUGGUAGUCCACGCCGUAAACGAUGAGUGCUAGGUGUUAGGCCCUUCCGGGGCUUAGUGCCGGAGCUAACGCAAUAAGCACUCCGCCUGGGGAGUACGACCGCAAGGUUGAAACUCAAAGGAAUUGACGGGGGCCCGCACAAGCGGUGGAGCAUGUGGUUUAAUUCGAAGCAACGCGAAAGAACCU